rnacentral:rRNA from 1 species
GAUGAACGCUGGCGGCGUGCCUAAUACAUGCAAGUCGAGCGAACAGACGAGGAUCUUGCUCCUCUCUCGUUAGCGGCGGACGUGUGUGUAACACGUGGAUACCCUACCUAUCAUACUGGGAUCACUUCGGGACACCGGCGCUAAUACCGGAUGAUAUCUUGCACCGCAUGGUUCAAUAGAGAGAGACGGUUUUUCUGUCACUUAUAGCUGGUUCCGCGCCGCAUUAGCUAGUUGGUAAGGUAACGGCUUACCAAGGCAAGGAUGCGUAGCCGACCUGAUAGGGUGAUCGGCCACACUGGAGCUGAGACGCGGACAAGACGACUACGGGAGGGAGCAGUAGGGAAUCGGACGCAAUGGGCGAAAGCCUGACGGAGCAACGGCGCGUGAGUGAUGAAGGUCUUCGGAUCGUAAAACUCUGUUAUUAGGUAAGAACAAAUGUGUAAGUAACUAUGGACGUCGUGACGGUACCGAAUCAGAAAGCCACGGCUAACUACGUG